rnacentral:rRNA from 1 species
UACGUAGGGUGCGAGCGUUGUCCGGAAUUAUUGGGCGUAAAGAGCUCGUAGGCGGUUUGUCGCGUCUGCUGUGAAAACUGGAGGCUCAACCUCCAGCCUGCAGUGGGUACGGGCAGACUAGAGUGCGGUAGGGGAGAUUGGAAUUCCUGGUGUAGCGGUGGAAUGCGCAGAUAUCAGGAGGAACACCAAUGGCGAAGGCAGAUCUCUGGGCCGAAAUUGACGCUGAGGAGCGAAAGCGUGGGGAGCAAACAGG